UCACACCCGUUCCCAUCCCGAACACGGCCGUUAAGCUCUUCAGCGCCGAUGGUAAUUGGGGGCUUCCCCCUGUGAGAGUAGGACGUUGCCGGGC
rnacentral:rRNA from 1 species